GUCAAAGAAAAAACAAAAAUACAACAGUGCAGAUGGAGGAUGGGAUUGGCAUGGAAGGUAUAGGUGAUUUGCAAUAUUACAUUUUUGAUUCGUGAAACUGUUAUCUCAAGAUACAUACCUGAAAUUGGUUAUCCCUAUAUUAAGUAUCUUGCACUACAUUAUUAUUUGAUACUUGUGGAUUUAAUGAGAGACACUAGAGGUGUUUUGCACC